AGAGUUUGAUCCUGGCUCAGGAUGAACGCUGGCGGCGUGCUUAACACAUGCAAGUCGAACGAAGAUAUUAAGAAUGAGAGCUUCGGCAGGAAUUUUUCUUAUCUUAGUGGCGGACGGGUGAGUAACGUGUGGGCAACCUGCCCUGCACUGGGGAAUAAUCAUUGGAAACGAUGACUAAUACCGCAUACGGUUCCUGGGAGGCAUCUUCCGGGAAAGAAAGGAUUUAUUCGGUGCAGGAUGGGCCCGCAUCUGAUUAGCUAGUUGGUGAGAUAACAGCCCACCAAGGCGACGAUCAGUAGCCGACCUGAGAGGGUGACCGGCCACAUUGGGACUGAGACACGGCCCAAACUCCUACGGGAGGCAGCAGUGGGGAAUAUUGCGCAAUGGGCGAAAGCCUGAUGCAGCAACGCCGCGUGAAGGAAGAAGGGUUUCGGCUCGUAAACUUCUAUCAACAGGGACGAAAGAAAUGACGGUACCUGAAUAAGAAGCCCCGGCUAACUACGUGCCAGCAGCCGCGGUAAUACGUAGGGGGCAAGCGUUAUCCGGAAUUACUGGGUGUAAAGGGUGAGUAGGCGGCAUGGUAAGCCAGAUGUGAAAGCCUUGGGCUUAACCCGAGGAUUGCAUUUGGAACUAUUAAGCUAGAGUACAGGAGAGGAAAGCGGAAUUCCUAGUGUAGCGGUGAAAUGCGUAGAUAUUAGGAAGAAACACCAGUGGCGAAGGCGGGCUUUCUGGGACUGAAACUGACGCUGAGGCACGAAAGCGUGGGGAGCGAACAGGAUUAGAUACCCUGGUAGUCCACGCCGUAAACGAUGAGUGCUAGGUGUCGGGGAGGAAUCCCCGGUGCCGCAGCUAACGCAAUAAGCACUCCACCUGGGGAGUACGACCGCAAGGUUGAAACUCAAAGGAAUUGACGGGGGCCCGCACAAGCGGUGGAGCAUGUGGUUUAAUUCGAAGCAACGCGAAGAACCUUACCAGGCCUUGACAUCCCGAUGACGCGGGCGUAACGGUCCGUUCCCUCCGGGGCAUCAGAGACAGGUGGUGCAUGGUUGUCGUCAGCUCGUGUCGUGAGAUGUUGGGUUAAGUCCCGCAACGAGCGCAACCCUUAUUCCCAGUAGCCAGCAUUUUGGAUGGGCACUCUGGGGAGACUGCCGGGGAAGACCCGGAGGAAGGCGGGGAUGACGUCAAAUCAUCAUGCCCCUUAUGGCCUGGGCUACACACGUGCUACAAUGGCGCAUACAAAGGGAGGCAAAGGAGCGAUCUGAAGCAAAUCCCAGAAAAGGCGCCCCAGUUCGGAUUGCAGCCUGCAACUCGGCUGCAUGAAGCUGGAAUCGCUAGUAAUCGCGGAUCAGAAUGCCGCGGUGAAUACGUUCCCGGGUCUUGCACUCACCGCCCGUCA
rnacentral:rRNA from 1 species